ACCUGGCUGGCUCAGUCGGUAGAGCAUGUGACUCUUGAUCUCAGGGUCAUGAGUUCCAGCCCCAUGUUGGGUG
rnacentral:tRNA from 2 species